rnacentral:rRNA from 1 species
GACGAACGCUGGCGGCGUGCCUAAUACAUGCAAGUCGAACGCACUCUCGUUUAGAUUGAAGGAGCUUGCUCCUGAUUGAUAAACAUUUGAGUGAGUGGCGGACGGGUGAGUAACACGUGGGUAACCUGCCCCAAAGUGGGGGAUAACAUUUGGAAACAGAUGCUAAUACCGCAUAAAACCUAAACACCGCAUGGUGUAGGGUUGAAAGAUGGUUUCGGCUAUCACUUUAGGAUGGACCCGCGGUGCAUUAGUUAGUUGGUGAGGUAAAGGCUCACCAAGACCGUGAUGCAUAGCCGGCCUGAGAGGGUAAUCGGCCACACUGGGACUGAGACACGGCCCAGACUCCUACGGGAGGCAGCAGUAGGGAAUCUUCCACAAUGGACGAAAGUCUGAUGGAGCAACGCCGCGUGAGUGAAGAAAGGUUUUCGG